GACUCCGUAGCUUAACCGGCAGAGCGAUUGAUUCUCAAUCAAUAGGGCGGCAGUUCGAACCUGUCCGGAGUCG
rnacentral:tRNA from 1 species